rnacentral:rRNA from 1 species
UACGUAGGGUCCGAGCGUUGUCCGGAAUUAUUGGGCGUAAAAGAGCUCGUAGGCGGUCUGUCACGUCGGCUGUGAAAACACGGGGCUCAACUCCGUGCCUGCAGUCGAUACGGGCAGACUAGAGUUCGGUAGGGGGAGACUGGAAUUCCUGGUGUAGCGGUGAAAUGCGCAGAUAUCAGGAGGAACACCGGUGGCGAAGGCGGGUCUCUGGGCGAAUAACUGACGCUGAGGAGCGAAAGCGUGGGGAGCGAACAGGAUUAGAACCGU